CAAUAGCGUAUAUUAAAGUUGUUGCAGUUAAAAAGCUCGUAGUUGAAUUUCUGGUUGAUGCUAGACUUGGCUCUUGUCGGUUUAGUGUCAAUCAUCCGUUUACAAACUUUUUCCGGCCUUCACUGGUACGACUAAGGGAGUAAACAAUUUACCUUGAAAAAAUUAGAGUGUUUCAGGCAGGCAUUAGCUUGAAUACAUUAGCAUGGAAUAAUGGAAUAGGUCUUUUAACUAUUUUGUUGGUUAUUAGUUGAGAGAAAUGAUUAAUAGGAUCAGUGUUUGGGGGCAUUAGUAUUUAAUUGUCAGAGGUGAAAUUCUUGGAUUUAUUAAAGACUAACUUAUGCGAAAGCAUUUGCCAAGGAUGUUUUCAUUAAC
rnacentral:rRNA from 1 species